UUGCAACUCCUCCCAUUGCUCAAGAACUCAAAGAAGAAAGACAGUUGUGUUUGGUGCUGAGUCACUGAAUUGACAGGGCAACAGAGAAUGGCUCGGGCGUACGUGGAGACCAAAAUUCAGGCGGACAAAGUGGUUAUUUUCAUAAAAGCGUCUUGUCCUUACUGUGUACUGGUUCAGGAGGUGCUGAACAAAUAUGAUUUAAAACAAGGCAAGCUGGAGAUCCACAACAUUACCGGCCAUGCCGACAUGAAAGCGAUCCAAGACUACUUUCACAAUAAAACAGGAGCCAAGACGGUACCUCGUGUGUUCAUUGGGACUGAAUGUGUGGGAGGUGGUUCAGACGUUAAACAGCUGCAUGACAAUGCUGUGCUGAAAGACAAGCUGAUUGCCAUUGGUGCCAUAUAGUCCCAGUCUCAAUAGGUAUCCAAGGACAGUUCAAGAAACCAUUACAUGAGAAUACAACGAGAUCUCCCAGAGUGAAUGUGAUGCCUGUAUUCAGUCAAUUCCUGCAAGUAAGAACUUGAUGGCCAUCUAUGACUUUCCACAAAAGCUUCUUCUUCAUCUGCAUGUGAAUACAAUAAAGAAGAAUGGAAUUAACAA